rnacentral:rRNA from 1 species
CGCCUGUUUAACAAAAACAUGUCUUUUUGAAAAUAAUUUAAAGUCAAAUCUGCCCAAUGAUGAUUGAAUGGCCGCGGUACACUGACCGUGCAAAGGUAGCAUAAUCAUUAGUUAAUUAAUUGUUAACUGGAAUGAAUGAUUUAACGAAAAAUUAUCUGUCUCUUAAUAAUUCUGUGAAUUUUAUCUUUAAGUAAAAAAGCUUAAAUUUGUUUAAAAGACGAGAAGACCCUAUAGAUUUUAAUAUUAAAUAAUUUUUAUUUUUUAAUUUAAAUAUUGUUUAAUAUUUUGUUGGGGUGAUAGAAAAAUUUAAUAAACUUUUUCUUUAUAAUUUUAUUAAUUUAUAUAUAAAUGAUCCAUUAUUUAUGAUUAAAAGAUUAAAUUACCUUAGGGAUAACAGCGUAAUUUAUUUAGAGAGUUCAUAUCGAUAAAUAAGAUUGCGACCUCGAUGUUGGAUUAA